rnacentral:rRNA from 1 species
UACGAAGGGGGCUAGCGUUGCUCGGAAUCACUGGGCGUAAAGGGUGCGUAGGCGGGUUUUUAAGUCAGGGGUGAAAUCCCAGAGCUCAACUCUGGAACUGCCUUUGAUACUGUCGAUCUGGAGUAUGGAAGAGGUGAGUGGAAUUCCGAGUGUAGAGGUGAAAUUCGUAGAUAUUCGGAGGAACACCAGUGGCGAAGGCGGCUCACUGGUCCAUUACUGACGCUGAGGUGCGAAAGCGUGGGGAGCAAACAGG